rnacentral:tRNA from 1 species
UAGCUCAAUGGUAGAGUUCUGGCCUUCCAAGCCAGCUGUGAGGGUUCGAUCCCCUUCACCCGCUCCA